rnacentral:rRNA from 1 species
UACGUAGGUCCCGAGCGUUGUCCGGAUUUAUUGGGCGUAAAGCGAGCGCAGGUGGUUUAUUAAGUCUGGUGUAAAAGGCAGUGGCUCAACCAUUGUAUGCAUUGGAAACUGGUAGACUUGAGUGCCGGAGAGGAGAGUGGAAUUCCAUGUGUAGCGGUGAAAUGCGUAGAUAUAUGGAGGAACACCGGUGGCGAAAGCGGCUCUCUGGCCUGUAACUGACAUUGAGGCUCGAAAGCGUGGGGAGCAAACAGG